rnacentral:snoRNA from 1 species
UAGCACCUAAAAGCGUUUUCUCGAUAGCUUUUUAAACGCUCCUGAAAAUCGUAGCUGUGUGCUAGAACAAAUGCUGAGGUUGCAAAUGAAUUGAUGCCAAUUAAUG